AUGCUCAAAGAGAUAGAUAGAGUCAAAGAGUGGCGAACUGGUGAUAUAGGUUAUACAACUUGUAUCCAGAUUAUUGUUUGUCGACUACGAUGGUCUUUCAAAGUUUCAGAUACAAUGAUGAUAAAAUACUUAGUUAAAUUUUAUAACCACUCAUUUGAUGCAAUUAGAGUACUGUACCUACUUAAUUUUAUAAACGAUAUAGAUUUACCGAUAGAAUAUUUUUGAUUCGAUACGACUGAUCCAAGUACUUUUUGAUUCGAUACGAGUACUUUUGAUUCGAUACCGAGUAAGUAUCGAAACAAAAGUAUCGAUGCCAAAAGUACUUGGUAUCGAAAGGAAAGUAUCGAUACAAGUAAAGUAGUUACUUGUAUCGGAACGUCCCGUCAUCAGUUGUGAAUCUGGAACCAGCCAGAAAACAUCACCGCUCUCUUUAUAAUACAAAUAGUUAAUUUUAUUGCUUAAUUUUGCCUACAUAUUGUACAUUCCUCUGGAGUACUGUAUUUAAUUGUGUAACAACAAAUUGAGGUGGUUCGGACAGCGUGUACAAUGUUGAACAAAAUCAGAAAGAUUUAAGUGUCAACUUCAACUUCGAAGCUUCAACUUGUGGAGUCUGGUCUCACUAGGCGUCAAACCUGCUAUAGGCCUACCUGUAGAAAUCAAUCUAAAAAAAAAACUCAAACUUCAAAGCUUGGGCUGGAUGGAAGCUUCAAGUGUGGAACUGUUCUCAACGGAGAAGGACUUUAUUGAUGCUUCUACUUCUUUUGCAUUGAAGAAUGGUCAGAGUAAUGAGUGGGCGAAUGGUGGUUGAACGUCAUCCUCCUGCCUCAAGGAACCCAUAUCUGCAUCAGGUCAAUGUAGCUGAAAUUCGGCUGGAAAGUUGGUUUUCGGCAUAGCAACCACCAGGACACCAUGGUGACCAAGGGUCAGCACUCGUGUAUGAUCACAGGCUGGAGGCGUGGGACUUGGACAUGGAUGGAUUGUGCGAGACGCAAGGUACAUGCUACUCAGAGCACCAAAAAAUGCUGACCUACAAGACCCUUCAAGAAUGUCAAUUGUGUUCUAACAGCAUAAAGGGCUUAAGAAGGACAAGGACAACCAUGGGUCUCCUCACUUGGCUCACAACUGUACAACUCACUACUUCAUCAAGAUAAUGUAGCUGAAAAUUAACUGGCAACAGAAAUUUUGCAGAGAAUCUACCUGCAAAGUAUCCACCAGGUCAACAUGGUGACCAAGGAUCAGUACUACCCAACGAGUAAAUACUAAACAAAUAACACCACCAAAUGCAAGCAGAACUGAAAUCUCCGCGCUGCUUUAUUGAGGUGUAGGAUGGAGGCUUUCCUCAAUGAGACUUUCCCUCAUCAAAAGUUCUGAUCGAGAUAAGGAGAAGAAGCUGGCAUACCUGUUGUUUUGAGAAGGUCACAAUUCAAGGACAGAUCUUCUUUGUUAAUGAAAAAAAUCAUACUGAGGAAGCCAUGCAGUUUCAACACUUGAAUAGAGCUAGCAGUGCCAAUAAUAAGUGGUAUUGGUACAGAUCACACAAUGCUUCUCACCGCACCACAAUUGGACAAAAUCAUCUGGACAUCAUCAUCAUCAUCAUCAUCACUACCAUCAUGACACCUUUAAACACCACCAAGCAGGGAAUGCGCAGAGUAACUGUAGCGGCUCAGUGAGUCUUUGAACACUUGGCAAAACAAUUAUUAUUCGUUUUCGUCUCUAAUAUUAAUAUUUAUUUAGAAUAUUUACAAGAAUACUGUUAAAUUAUAAUGUAUUGGACAAUGCUUUUCCUUGUCGAUCUCUCAUUAAUAUCUAGAAAAUUUCAAACGAUUUUUAAAUAUUUAUAUUUAUGAAAUUUCAAACAAUUCAAUAUAAAGGAGAAAUCAAGCUACUUCAAAUAUUCAGCACAUUCAAAUUCAAAAUUCAAUUUUGUAUUGUAUCAUUUGUACAAACGAAAGUACACAGAUUACCAAAUGUAAGCUUAUCUUCCAUUCUCUACAGUUUCGUCUAAGUUUGAAAUAUUAAUAGAUGCCUAAUAUUUCGGGACUGUCUAAGCUUUCCGUAGCAGUUGCUUGUCAUAUCUUGAGCAUGUUAUUCAUCUCAAUUUGAUUCUGCAGUAUCAGAUGUAUGGAUGAGAUGCCAUCUUAACUCUGUCCCAUUUUGAAGGGUUAUUAUAUAUGACCGAGGCUGCUCUGCUCCACUUUUGACAAUCCCAUAUGUGCUCAUAUCUUUUAUCCAAACUCGGUUUCCAACUCUCACUUAAUAAAAUGAAUAUUUACACUUCUAAAAACAAACAAAUAUUCCAUCAAAAAUAUAUUUCAUAAAUAACUAAAUGAUUUAUUUAUAUUGUGUGAAAUAAAUAUUGUAAGUGGUGUCGAGCAAUUAGAGCAAGUCAAUCAUUUUGAAUACUUGGGAACCGUCUUUAGCAGGUAACCCUAUUCAUAAAUAUAUUUAUUUGUAUGGUCAGGCGAAUCAUUGUUUAUUGUUUUUGAAGGGACGGAUUCAAGGAUCCAAAGGUUCAAAGAACCCCACACGUCAA